GACGAACGCUGGCGGCGUGCCUAAUACAUGCAAGUCGAACGAGUGGCGGACGGGUGAGUAACACGUGGGAACCUGCCUCAUAGCGGGGGAUAACUACUGGAAACGGUAGCUAAUACCGCAUACCAUCGGAUGUGCCCAGAUGGGAUUAGCUAGUAGGUGGGGUAACGGCUCACCUAGGCGACGAUCCCUAGCUGGUCUGAGAGGAUGACCAGCCACACGGGAACGGAGACACGGUCCAGACUCCUACGGGAGGCAGCAGUGGGGAAUAUUGCACAAUGGGCGCAAGCCUGAUGCAGCCAUGCCGCGUGUAUGAAGAAGGCCUUCGGGUUGUAAAGUACUUUCAGCGAGGAGGCGUUACUCGCAGAAGAAGCACCGGCUAACUACGUGCCAGCAGCCGCGGUAAUAC
rnacentral:rRNA from 1 species